AAGUCUUAAGUUAAAAAUAUAAACUAAUAGCCUUCAAAGUUAAAAAUAUGCCGUUUUAGGCUUUGA
rnacentral:tRNA from 1 species